rnacentral:lncRNA from 1 species
GGAGGUUUUAUUUCUGUGUUUGUUCUGACACCAGGCAGGUUUCAGGGAUGACCUUCUCUAGGAGUUCCUGAAUAAAUGUGCGGUUUCCUGGGUAGUUUCUGAGAAAAACAAUCACAAAAACAUACUUUGCUGAGGCGAUGAGCUGGGCACUGUGAACCCCAUCUUCAAAAUCGGUCUGAAUAAUGAGGAUUUUAGAAUCGGCUGGGUGAGUUAAGCAGUUUCUGAAAGCAAAAGGACAUUUUCCAGGUGAGUGCUCUGCCCCAGACAUGGUGCGACCCGCCCCCAGGCGAUGGGAAACACAAGCGGCCCGUGGCCAAAGCUAUCCAGGUGGGGUGUUCCUCCGUCAGGCCAGGGAAUAAGGCAGAGGAGAAAGAGGAAGGCCCCGAUCAACGCCUGCUUCCUAAGGAAAUACACGGAAGCUGGCUUCAGAGGACAGCGCAGUCGAGAGGGACCCUUGGAGAAUGUGACGUUCUUCCCAGAGGCACAGUCCCCAGGGCUCGCCGGCCAACUCGGGUGAGAACGGCGGCGGCGGUGGAGGAAAUGCCGAGGGGUGGGGGCGGAGGGCAGGCGGGGACCCUCACCGGACGUCCUUGAGGAACGCGUACUCGGUGUCGAACUGCUGCAGGGACAGGACCGUGAGCUUCAGAGCCCUGUCCUUUAGCUCCGAUUCUAGAAGUUCACAGUCAUGACUGGUGAGCAGUCUGGAGAAGGUGUGGAUGUCCAGAUAGUGCUUCUCCAGCCGGUUGAUGAGGGGGAUGGGGAAGCGCUGGUACACGACGUCCUUCUCCUCAAUGACGAUCAGGCGGAAGUCCGGGUGGACCCGACACUUGACCCGAUGGGUCCCCAGCCCGAGGUCCACAUACUUCUGGCCGCCGAGGUAGACGUAGUACUGAUUGAGGGCGUCGUACAGGCUCUCGUAGAGGUUCUGCAGGUNNNNNNNNNNNNNNNNNNCAGCACCACCAUCCUGCCGGUUUCCAUGCAGAUCUUCACGCGGUUGAUGUUUCGGCAGAUCUGGGUGUACUCCUGGUCCCUGGGAAAACUGGAGCCAAAGAUGACCUCUGGCAGGUCGUCGGCGAAGAAGGCCUGCUGCAGGAUCUGCAGGGCCACGUAGUUCCUGGUGAGCACGAGCAGGUAGCGGGACUCGGCGCCCUCCAGCUCCGGGCCCGGGGCCUUCCGAAGGUCCCCGUACAUGUUCUGCCGGAUCAGCUCCAUGGUGCUGACGUCCUCUGCGCACUUGGCCUCGGGCAAGCUGGCCGAGAAGAUGGCCAGAGCCUGGAUGUCGUCUUUGCCGCUGAAGUUCCGCAGGACGGCUCGUGCGAUGUCCUCCGAGGACGGCUCCCGGUUAGACGCCUUCGCCGCGGCAAAGACCAUUUUGAUGAGGCUGUAGUAGUCACGGAGCCCGAAGAACUCCUUGUCCUGGCUCUCACACACGGUUUCGUAGGCCUUGGCGAAGGCUGCAAAGUAGCCCUGGAUCCUCUCCUGGA